rnacentral:rRNA from 1 species
GACGAACGCUGGCGGCGUGCUUAACACAUGCAAGUCGAACGGAAAGGCCCUGCUUUUGUGGGGUGCUCGAGUGGCGAACGGGUGAGUAACACGUGAGUAACCUGCCCUUGACUUUGGGAUAACUUCAGGAAACUGGGGCUAAUACCGUAUAGGAUCUCCUGCUGCAUGGUGGGGGUUGGAAAGUUUCGGCGGUUGGGGAUGGACUCGCGGCUUAUCAGCUUGUUGGUGGGGUAGGGGCUUACCAAGGCUUUGACGGGUAGCCGGCCUGAGAGGGUGACCGGCCACAUUGGGACUGAGAUACGGCCCAGACUCCUACGGGAGGCAGCAGUGGGGAAUAUUGCACAAUGGGCGGAAGCCUGAUGCAGCAACGCCGCGUGCGGGAUGACGGCCUUCGGGUUGUAAACCGCUUUCGCCUGUGACGAAGCGUGAGUGACGGUAAUGGGUAAAGAAGCACCGGCUAACUACGUG